UCCCUAGAUCCCGUUUUCCUGGAUUCCUAUGGGAACACAGAAGGAGGGGUUUCAGCAGAGGAAACCAGAGUACCUGAAGGAAACCCAUGUGGAGACGGGGAGAACAUGAAAACUCCACACAGAAAGGCCCCCGGCCUGGCCUGGAUUCGAACCCUGGACCUUCUUACCGUGAGGAAGCAGAGCUAUCCUCAAUAAUAAAGCUUAUCUCUGAUUGGUUGUAAAAAAAGUUGACUGAACAAAAUUAUAACCCUCUCCCACCUAACUGCAUUGAACUUAAUAGUAUAUAACCUAACAGUUAGCUGACAAAGUAAAUGGAGUGAAAGCUAUUUAUAACACCUGCCCUACCCCCAACUACACAUCAGACCACAGAAAUACACCGUGCAUCAUGGGAAACAUAGUUUUUUUCCCCCCCUAGUCCAAAAAAAAAAUUGAAGAGAUACAGGAGCACAUCAGAAGUCAGCCAUUUAUUCAUUACAAAACCGGUCAGAUUGAAAACAUCUUCAUCAGUGGCUUCAGAGAGCCCAUUAUAAAGAGGGACACAAAAAUAAACCAAGAGGACAUAUUUUAACCCGCUGUGGGGCUUUUCAUUUAGACUGGUGGCUUAUUCGAAUGAGCACCAUACGCACAGUAUGAACUACAUUCAGAUCAAGCACAUUCUUAUCGUAACGGUGGUUCUUAACUGGCCCGUUAUCCAGAUCCACCAACGACCAGGAACCUUUUGACGUUUGAACGGGCGAACAGACUGAAGCCGCCAAGUCUGGCGAUUACGUUCUCAGUGUUUCGAUUACAAUAGACAAGCACGCUAUCUCUGUGAGUUACAUUUCUCGUAUUAAUAGUUCUGCAAGGAUUAGGAGAUAAAAUUA